AACAUAUUGGAGAUGCCAGUACCAUAGAAUGAUCACCAAGAACAACAGCAACAGUGGAGUGGAGUCAAUCUGCUACAGAGAAUGCUACAGAGGGCAGAGCUGGAGAAGUGACACAAGCCCUUUGGAAGAGCCCAGAAGAUCAUGUGUGGAUCCUAGAUACUGGAACAAGAAGCGGAAUUUCCUCCAGUAUUUUCAUAGCAACCUUCAGAUGAAAGUGUAGAACUCUCAGCUCCUCCUGCAUCAUGACUGCCUGGGGCUGCCAUGUUCCUGCCUUGAUGAUAAUGGACUGAACCUCUAAACCUGACUGGUUGUUCUAUUUCUGAGAUCUCUGAGACCCAGCCCACCAGGAACACACAAAUGUGGAACCGAGAUAGGCUGAGGACUUAUUAAACAGAAUUCUGCUGUUCCUAUCCCAGGGUUGGACCAAUGUGUAGAAAAUUGCUUAUGGGAUUCUUUGAAUGACUUUUUCAUUGCGGGAAAUAUUAAAAAUGAACCUGCCAACCUUCCACACUCCUGCUUCUUUCAAGCCACCAACUCAAGAGAUCUGUCUCUGCCUCCUACGUGCUGGAAUCAAAGGAAGAUCCAUCUUUAAUAUGGGCCACACCUUCUUCUAGCAGCCUUAUAAAGGACAUGAAAAAAGAAUGCUUGCUUGCUCUUGCUCUUCCUAGAAAUUACUUCACUGCCAUUAGAGCCUACUUCUUCAGGAUUCUGCUUAUACUGAAAACCAUGUGGGACAUCCAGCCUUGUGGACUGAACAACUUCUGGCUUCUUGGACCUUUCACUGUUAGUCAGCCAUUGUUGGACCACAGCCUAUAAGUCGUUCUAAUAAAUCUCCUACAUAUAGA
rnacentral:lncRNA from 1 species